rnacentral:lncRNA from 1 species
UUUCUCGCUUCAUCUGUGCCACUUCUCUGCAUUCGGUAUGGCGCCUUGUACUUCUAUCCAACGUUGCCCGCUCCCCAUCUUCCCUGCCCACCAGCUCACUGCCCUCGGUCCGCAUCUCCGGAUGUUUCGUGAGAUAUGGAGCCUGCCACCAGGGAACCGGAUUUUUCCGUCUCGUCCAUGGAAGCACGGGUGAUGGCCGCAUGCGCAGUGAUAACUCAGCGACUCGCGCCUUUUGACCACUGUUGAGAUGAAGAUUGUGAGGAGGGAGACCAGAAGAUAACAGACGAGGACACAGCAGAAGGGCCUGGUCACACUUGAGCUUAUUUCUUGGAAGAGUCUGAGAAGACAGCCUGUCAGGCUCCUAACACCAAGGGCCAUGUAACCUGUGAAGCAGCCAUUAUACAUGAUUUGGUCUACACUUGCUGGAAAAAAUCUACAAGAGGAUCCGGAAGCUAGCCGACAUUUUUGGCUAGUACAUAGCCAGGCAGCCAUUGGAAUCAGAGCUGCAGACAGAUUAAGGCCAGCCUGGCCUACAUUGAGAAACCUCAUUUUGGAAAAGUGGAAUAAUCUGUAAAUUAACAUGCAGUUGGUUCAAUAAAGACUUUUGGAAAGUA